UGCGUUUUUGACUCGUGUUCGUCAGUUUUUGACUCGUGUCCACUCGUGUUCGUCAUUUUUGACUCGUGUCCACUCGUGUUCGUCAUUUUUGACUCGUGUUCACUCGUGUUCGUCAUUUUUGACUCGUGUCCACUCGUGUUCGUCAUUUUUGACUCGUGUUCACUCGUGUUCGUCAGUUUUUGACUCGUGUUCACUCGUGUUCGUCAUUUUUGACUCGUG